rnacentral:rRNA from 1 species
CAUGUGGUUUAAUUCGAUGCAACGCGAAGAACCUUACCUGGUCUUGACAUCCACAGAAGAAUCCAGAGAUGGAUUGGUGCCUUCGGGAACUGUGAGACAGGUGCUGCAUGGCUGUCGUCAGCUCGUGUUGUGAAAUGUUGGGUUAAGUCCCGCAACGAGCGCAACCCUUAUCCUUUGUUGCCAGCGAUUAGGUCGGGAACUCAAAGGAGACUGCCAGUGAUAAACUGGAGGAAGGUGGGGAUGACGUCAAGUCAUCAUGGCCCUUACGACCAGGGCUACACACGUGCUACAAUGGCGCAUACAAAGAGAAGCGACCUCGCGAGAGCAAGCGGACCUCAUAAAGUGCGUCGUAGUCCGGAUUGGAGUCUGCAACUCGACUCCAUGAAGUCGGAAUCGCUAGUAAUCGUGGAUCAGAAUGCCACGGUGAAUACGUUCCCGGGCCUUGUACACACCGCCCGUCACACCAUGGGAGUGGGUUGCAAAAGAAGUAGGUAGCUUAACCUUCGGGAGGGCGCUUACCACUUUGUGAUUCAUGACUGGGGUGAAGUCGUAACAAGGUAACCGUAGGGGAACCUGCGGUUGGA